rnacentral:rRNA from 1 species
AUUGAACGCUGGCGGCAGGCCUAACACAUGCAAGUCGAACGCGAAAGCUCCUUCGGGAGUGAGUAGAGUGGCGGACGGGUGAGUGACACGUAGGAAUCUACCCAGGAGUGGGGGACAACCCGGAGAAAUCCGGGCUAAUACCGCAUACGCCCUACGGGGUAAAGUGGGGGACCUUUCGGGGCCUCAUGCUUUUGGAUGAGCCUGCGUCGGAUUAGCUUGUUGGUGAGGUAACGGCUCACCAAGGCGACGAUCCGUAGCUGGUCUGAGAGGAUGACCAGCCACACUGGGACUGAGACACGGCCCAGACUCCUACGGGAGGCAGCAGUGGGGAAUAUUGGACAAUGGGGGCAACCCUGAUCCAGCCAUGCCGCGUGUGUGAAGAAGGCCUUCGGGUUGUAAAGCACUUUCAGUAGGGAAGAAAAGCUCGAGGUUAAUACCCUCGGGUCUUGACGGUACCUACAGAAGAAGCACCGGCUAAUUCCGUG